AUAUUGCACAAUGGGGGAAACCCUGAUGCAGCCAUGCCGCGUGUGUGAAGAAGGCCUUCGGGUUGUAAAGCACUUUCAGUUGUGAGGAAAGUUUAGUAGUUAAUACCUGCUAGAUGUGACGUUAGCAACAGAAGAAGCACCGGCUAACUCCGUGCCAGCAGCCGCGGUAAUACGGAGGGUGCGAGCGUUAAUCGGAAUUACUGGGCGUAAAGCGCACGCAGGCGGUCUGUUAAGCUAGAUGUGAAAGCCCCGCGCUCAACGUGGGAGGGUCAUUUAGAACUGGCAGACUAGAGUCUUGGAGAGGGGAGUGGAAUUCCAGGUGUAGCGGUGAAAUGCGUAGAGAUCUGGAGGAACAUCAAUGGCGAAGGCAACUCCCUGGCCAAAGACUGACGCUCAUGUGCGAAAGUGUGGGUAGCGAACAGGAUUAGAUACCCUGGUAGUCCACACCGUAAACGCUGUCUACUAGCUGUUUGUGAAUUU
rnacentral:rRNA from 1 species